AUAUUUAAAUGCUGAGUCAGCUCUUGUAAGCACCUUCAUGUUAGGAAUUUGCCUCAAUUCCUUACCAUUGCACUUCGUAUGUGCUGACCCCUGCGAUUUCCCCAAAUGUGAGAAACUCGAUUGCAUAAUUUGUGGUGGUGGGGGACUGCUUUUGCACUUUCCCCUG
ensembl:snRNA U1 U1 spliceosomal RNA